CAGAUCCUACCCAUUCUUCCAGACCCACCUCAAAUGACAUCUCCUCUAUUAGAUUUCCUGAUGCUUCCAGUUGGCUAAGAUGCCUUCUUCCUUUGAACACUUCAUACCCUCUCAACACUGAAAAGAGGAACCAGUGGAGAGAAAAUGAAAAGGCAGAAUAUCACCACUGACUCACCAAUUCCACCUGAAAAGCACAGUACUCAUGUACAGAUGUGAGAGUUGGACCACAAAGAAGGCUGUGUGCAGAAGAAUUGAUGCCCUCUAAUUGCAGUGCUGGAGAAGAUUCUUGAGAGGAGUCCCUUGGACUGCAAAGAGUUCAAACCAGUCAAUCCUAAAGGAAUCAACCCUGAAUACUCAUUGGAAAGAUGGAAGUUGAAGUUCCGACACUUUGGCCACCCAAUGCAAAGAGAUGAGUCAUUGGAAAAGACCCUGAUGCUGGGAAAGAUUGAAGGCAGGAGGAGAAGGGGACGGCAGAGGAAGAGAUGGUUGGAUGCCAUCACCGACUCAAUGGUCAUGAAUCUGAGCAAACUCCUGGAGAUAGUGGAGGACAGAGGAGCCUGGCGUGCUAUAAUCCAUGGGGUCACAAAGGGUCAGACACACGUUAGCCACUGAAUAACAAGAACAACCGUGUGCACGCAUGUGCAUGUGUCACACUUACCUAAGUAAGGCAUGCCAAUUUAAAACGUGUUUUAUCAGAGCCUUAUAUAAAGUAUAAUAGGUCUUCUCUCAUGAGGGUGUGACCUGAGAGGUAGAGUAAUGCUUGCAAGAAAGAAAAACAAUAUGGGUUAUGGUCUUGGCAAUUAAAAUGCUUUUGCUUGUAUUAAAAUAUUGUCAAUUGUUAUUGAUUUCAUCUAGUUAUAAAUUUAAGUUACAAAAAGGAAAACUUCUGCUGAUUUUUGUAUUAUGUCUACUAUAUAUUAACAGCUUAUAUAGUUACUGUCUGUCCUUUCCAGUGUUAAAAAUGACCCCAGGCUCAUUUGUUUAAAAUUUAUAAUAAUUUGACAAUAUCUUACAUUAAGUGAAUAUAUAUUCUUCCCAUUUUGAAAAUGAUUAGAUAGAGGAAAUUGAAAGCUAAAAUAAAUCACUCAAGUAGCCACUAUAAAUGUUAUGAAAGUCCAAUUUUCCUGAAUGUUAUGCAGUGUCCAUAGGCUGCAAACUAACAGUAAUAGUUUUCAUUGCCAAAAGCACAAUGGUGUAAACACCGCACAUAAUUGAAAAAAAAAAUUUAAAGAAAUUAGAAAAUUCUAACAGUUUUUUUCACAAAUAAUAGUGUGAGAUUCAUUGAGGUUACUGUUAUUCAUGAAUUCAUAAGACUCUGGACACAUAUAUUUUAUUUAGCUAUAAAGUUAUGUUGCAAAUAUUAAUUAUACAAGUUUCAUAUACCAAAUUUUUAUUUUUAUUUAUUUUUGAAUAGCUCUCUACGUUAAGGUCUUAAAUGUUAUCUCUGCAUCCAUUGUCAUGUUGAUUUGUACCAUUUGACUGUGAA